AGUGAACGCUGGCGGUAGGCCUAACACAUGCAAGUCGAACGGCAGCACAGUAAGAGCUUGCUCUUACGGGUGGCGAGUGGCGGACGGGUGAGGAAUACAUCGGAAUCUACUUUUUCGUGGGGGAUAACGUAGGGAAACUUACGCUAAUACCGCAUACGACCUACGGGUGAAAGCAGGGGAUCUUCGGACCUUGCGCGAUUGAAUGAGCCGAUGCCGGAUUAGCUAGUUGGCGGGGUAAAGGCCCACCAAGGCGACGAUCCGUAGCUGGUCUGAGAGGAUGAUCAGCCACACUGGAACUGAGACACGGUCCAGACUCCUACGGGAGGCAGCAGUGGGGAAUAUUGGACAAUGGGCGCAAGCCUGAUCCAGCCAUACCGCGUGGGUGAAGAAGGCCUUCGGGUUGUAAAGCCCUUUUGUUGGGAAAGAAAAGCAGCAGGUUAAUACCCCGCUGUUCUGGCGGUACCCAAAGAAUAAGCACCGGCUAACUUCGUG
rnacentral:rRNA from 1 species